CAUAUACGCAGCAAGUCUCCCUAUCCCUACAGUGCAUACAGGUUCACUAGUAAAACAUUGUAUAAAUACUUAUACGAAGUCAAUGUAACGGCCUAAUAGUGUGAAAUGCGUCUUUGAUCUAGAAUGUGGAGUAAUUGAACAGUUAAUUAGGGAAAUGAUGAGCCAUCCACAAUAUCCAAGUCACGUUUCAACGGUUCCAGUUUCAAGCUGCUGUCAGAUAGGAAGAUUCCCUCGACACACUUACUUUUAUAUACCUCUGAAAUGGCCGUAAGCUGGGCCGCUUCUACAUGUUCGACCCCCGCAAGAUGUCCGUGGAGGAGUUCUUCGGGGACCUCAAGACCUUCAAGACCAUGUUUGAGCUGACAGCACAAUGAGCCAUGGAAACAUCAAUGUGGACAGAGGGGACCUUCAUCCAUCCCAUGAGUCUGGCAUGAAGCCCUCCAGCUACAGAGGAAACCUAGCCUGAGCCCCGAC